GCUAACGCGUUAAGUCGACCGCCUGGGGAGUACGGCCGCAAGGUUAAAACUCAAAUGAAUUGACGGGGGCCCGCACAAGCGGUGGAGCAUGUGGUUUAAUUCGAUGCAACGCGAAGAACCUUACCUGGUCUUGACAUCCACAGAACUUUCCAGAGAUGGAUUGGUGCCUUCGGGAACUGUGAGACAGGUGCUGCAUGGCUGUCGUCAGCUCGUGUUGUGAAAUGUUGGGUUAAGUCCCGCAACGAGCGCAACCCUUAUCCUUUGUUGCCAGCGGUCCGGCCGGGAACUCAAAGGAGACUGCCAGUGAU
rnacentral:rRNA from 1 species